rnacentral:misc_RNA from 1 species
UCAAACUUGGUCAUUUAGAGGAAGUAAAAGUCGUAACAAGGUUUCCGUAGGUGAACCUGCGGAAGGAUCAUUAAAAAAUCUUUUCUGAGCCGCAAGGCUCUAUCAUUUUGUGCAACGUUGUGCGCGUGUAUGCACAUGUGCGAGGUUGUGCGGUGGAGUUGUGCGUCCUGCGCGCUUCUCUGCUCACGCACGCACGUCAUGCCGCGCUCUUAUUAAAACGUAUAUUAACUGGAUACACGAGGAAGUUACAUCAUAAAUUGUGUAAUUUAUAAACAACUUUCAACAGUGGAUCUCUCGGCUCUUGCAUCGAUGAAGAACGCAGC